CCUACGGGUGGCUGCAGUGAGGAAUAUUGGUCAAUGGACGAGAGUCUGAACCAGCCAAGUAGCGUGAAGGAUGACUGCCCUAUGGGUUGUAAACUUCUUUUAUAUGGGAAUAAAAUGUUCCACGUGUGGGAUUUUGUAUGUACCAUAUGAAUAAGGAUCGGCUAACUCCGUGCCCGCAGCCGCGGUAAUACGGAGGAUCCGAGCGUUAGCCGGAUUUAUUGGGUUUAAAGGGUACGUAGGUGGAUUGUUAAGUCAGUUGUGAAAGUUUGCGGCUCAACCGUAGAAUUGCAGUUGAAACUGGCUGACUUGAGUACAGUAGAGGUGGGCGGAAUGCGUGGUGUAGCGGUGAAAUGCUUAGAUAUCACGAAGAACUCCGAUUGCGAAGACAGUUCACUGGAAUGCAACUGACACUGAGGCUCGAAAGUGUGGGUAUCAAACAGGAUUAGCGUGUAGUC
rnacentral:rRNA from 1 species